rnacentral:misc_RNA from 1 species
GCCACGCCCGAAGUCGUUACCUCAACCGCAAGGAGGGGGAUGCCUAAGGCAGGGCUAGUGACUGGGGUGAAGUCGUAACAAGGUAGCCGUACCGGAAGGUGUGGCUGGAUCACCUCCUUAAAGGGAGACCUAAUUCAAGUAGGAGACGAAAAAAAAGUAGUCCCUACCAAGAAUCAAUCCCAAAAGGUCGGAGCGAGGCAAAAUUGGCUUUCAAACUAGGUUCUGGGUUCACACAAGACCUGAAUCAGGAACAAGGGCUAUUAGCUCAGGUGGUUAGAGCGCACCCCUGAUAAGGGUGAGGUCCCUGGUUCGAGUCCAGGAUGGCCCACCUGUACAGGUGGCAAAAAGAAAGAAAAGAAGCGAGGAAUCAGCACCUUAUCUUACUUAUAUAGUAAGAGAGAAUGCUGGCUCUGAGUUCAGAGUCCAGAGGAACCUUGAAAACUGCAUAGAGCUAGGUGAAAAAGCCAAAAAAGAAGACCACAAGGUCAAGCUAAUAAGGGCUAACGGUGGAUACCUAGGCACACAGAGG